UUAGCAUAUCAAUAAGCGGAGGAAAAGAAACCAACCGGGAUUGCCCUAGUAACGGCGAGUGAAGCGGCAAGAGCUCAAAUUUGAAAGCUGGCCCCCUCGGGGUCCGCAUUGUAAUUUGCAGAGGAUGCUUCGGGAGCGGUCCCCAUCUAAGUGCCCUGGAACGGGCCGUCAUAGAGGGUGAGAAUCCCGUAUGGGAUGGGGUGCCCGCGCCCGUGUGAAGCUCCUUCGACGAGUCGAGUUGUUUGGGAAUGCAGCUCUAAUUGGGUGGUAAAUUUCAUCUAAAGCUAAAUAUUGGCCGGAGACCGAUAGCGCACAAGUAGAGUGAUCGAAAGAUGAAAAGCACUUUGAAAAGAGAGUUAAACAGCACGUGAAAUUGUUGAAAGGGAAGCGCUUGCGAUCAGACUCGCCCACGGGGUUCAGCCGGCAUUCGUGCCGGUGUACUUCCCCGCGGGCGGGCCAGCGUCGGUUUGGGCGGUCGGUCAAAGGCCCCUGGAAUGUAACGCCUCUCGGGGCGUCUUAUAGCCAGGGGUGCCAUGCGACCUGCCCGGACCGAGGAACGCGCUUCGGCUCGGACGCUGGCAUAAUGGUCGUAAGCGACCCGUCUUGAAACACGGACCAAGGAGUCUAACAUCUACGCGAGUGUUCGGGUGUCAAACCCGUGCGCGCAGUGAAAGCGAACGGAGGUGGGAACCCUCACGGGUGCACCAUCGACCGAUCCUGAUGUCUUCGGAUGGAUUUGAGUAAGAGCGUAGCUGUUGGGACCCGAAAGAUGGUGAACUAUGCCUGAAUAGGGCGAAGCCAGAGGAAACUCUGGUGGAGGCUCGCAGCGGUUCUGACGUGCAAAUCGAUCGUCAAAUUUGGGUAUAGGGGCGAAAGACUAAUCGAACCAUCUAGUAGCUGGUUCCUGCCGAA
rnacentral:rRNA from 1 species